rnacentral:rRNA from 1 species
AAACUUUCAACAAUGGAUCUCUUGGCUCUCGCAUCGAUGAAGAACGCAGCGAAAUGCGAUAAGUAAUAUGAAUUGCAGAAUUCCGUGAAUCAUCAAG